rnacentral:rRNA from 1 species
UACGUAGGGGGCAAGCGUUGUCCGGAUUUAUUGGGCGUAAAGAGCGUGUAGGCGGUUAGGUAGGUCCGUUGUGAAAACGUCGACGGCUCAACCUCGAGACGCCGAUGGAAACCAUCUGACUAGAGUCCGGAAGAGGAGAGUGGAAUUCCUGGUGGUAGCGGUGAAAUGACGUAGAUAUCUGGAGGAACACCGGUGGCGAAGGCGGGUCUCGGGCAGUAACUGACGCUGAGGAGCGAAAGCGUGGGGAGCGAACAGGG